ACAAGAGCCAAGCUGCCUUAAGAAACCACUGAGUUAACAAUUGUUAUCAACACUCCACUGCUUGCACUGUUCCAGGGAGUUUGGAAGUACAGCCCUGACUGGGAAUACAGAUUGUAGUCAUCUGCUGAGCAGAUUCAACAGCCAGACAGCAAAAACUACAGGUGGAGGAGGAGAAGACGGCCCACAACCAAUUGGAGAGGACACGUACAGGUGGAGGCAAGCCCAACCUCGUGCUGCUCAGCAGGUUUGAGCAAGGCCCUGCAGCUGGAGAGUUGGGCACUCCCUGUGCAACUGGGCGUGGAGAGGCAGGGGUGCCAGAUGAAGCUCUCUCUCUCCUGCCUGGCCUGGGAAGAUUUAUCCUGUGCUUUCCCUGCUGUCCUCUGAACAAUGUGAUCUGCACUCAGUGAAUUUGUGAGUGGAGAUUAGUCUGUGAAUGAAUCAUUACAAGAACAGACCUCUGGACUCAACCCCAGACAGUAUUGAUAAGAACCUCUUUCUAUCUUCUCAUCUGAAGCCCGCAUCACCUUGUUGAAAGACCAGCUCGCCAGUCUCGAACAACCCCCAGUGAUGGAAAUUCUACCGGAUGAAAGCCUCCCCCCAGGAGCUAAUUGCAACUGGGCAACCUGGAAGU